rnacentral:tRNA from 1 species
GUUCGAGUAGUUUAUCAAAAACACUCCCUUUUCGAGGGAAAGUAGUGUGCUGUCACCUCGAGGU